rnacentral:lncRNA from 1 species
AAGUAAAUUCUAGUCAUAAUAUCCUUCUAGAUAUGCUUGUGCUAUACCUUUGGGAUUACACAUAUCAUCGUUUCCUGACUCAGCCGACGACGUAGCUUCUUCGAGAAGCUGCAUAAUAGUUUCUUCAUCCUGGUUGUCAAUAUCUUGAAGAGCCUUCUGGAGCUUCUUCUUGAUUUCUGCUUUGGAUGACUUGGACUGUGGAGAUGUCUUCCCCACGACAAUCUUUCCCUUAUCUGGUGUUGAUGCCUU